rnacentral:rRNA from 1 species
UAGGGAAUUGUUCGCAAUGGGCGCAAGCCUGACGACGCAACGCCGCGUGGAGGAUGAAGACCUUCGGGUCGUAAACUCCUUUCGACCGAGAUGAAUACGUGUUGACCUAAUACGUCGACACGCUGACGGUAUCGAGGGAAGCAGCCCCGGCUAACUCCGUGCCAGCAGCCGCGGUAAUACGGGGGGGGCAAGCGUUGUUCGGAAUUACUGGGCGUAAAGGGUUCGUAGGUGGCCAACUAAGUCAGACGUGAAAUCCCUCAGCUCAACUGGGGAACUGCGUCUGAUACUGGUUGGCUUGAGUGCAGGAGAGGAACGCGGAAUUCCAGGUGUAGCGGUGAAAUGCGUAGAUAUCUGGAGGAACACCGGUGGCGAAGGCGGCGUUCUGGACUGCAACUGACACUGAGGAACGAAAGCCAGGGGAGCAAA